rnacentral:rRNA from 1 species
UACAGAGGGGGCAAGCGUUGUUCGGAAUUACUGGGCGUAAAGGGCGCGUAGGCGGCCUGUUAAGUCGAACGUGAAAUCCCCGGGCUCAACCCGGGAACUGCGUCCGAUACUGGCAGGCUUGAAUCCGGGAGAGGGAUGUGGAAUUCCAGGUGUAGCGGUGAAAUGCGUAGAUAUCGGGAGGAACACCAGUGGCGAAGGCGACUACCUGGCCUGUUUCUUGACGCUGAGGCGCGAAAGCUAGGGGAGCAAACGGG